rnacentral:rRNA from 1 species
GACGAACGCUGGCGGCGUGCUUAACACAUGCAAGUCGAACGGAAAGGCCUGCUUUCCCUUGUGGAUUGCGGGUGCUCGAGUGGCGAACGGGUGAGUAACACGUGAGUGAUCUGCCCCCAACUUGGGUAUAAGCCUGGGAAACUGGGUCUAAUUCCCGAUAGGACUGCAGGGUGGUGCCUGUGGUGGAAAACGAUUUUCUAGUGGUUGGGGAUGAGCUCGCGGCCUAUCAGCUUGUUGGUGGGGUAAUGGCCUACCAAGGCGGCGACGGGUAGCCGGCCUGGGAGGGUGGACGGCCACAUUGGGACUGAGAUACGGCCCAGACUCCUACGGGAGGCAGCAGUGGGGAAUAUUGCACAAUGGACGGAAGCCUGAUGCAGCGACGCCGCGUGGGGGAUGACGGCCUUCGGGUUGUAAACUCCUUUCGACCGCGAGGAAGCCACCUGGUUGGAAGGGUGGUGACGGUAGUGGUAGAAGAAGCACCGGCUAACUACGUG